UACUAGAGAAAAUAAAAUUAUGACCUAACUUGGAUUUUCUUGAUAGAAAAAGAUAUAACCGUGCCUUGUAAUAGCUGCAUGUCAAAGGGCUAGAAUUAGCAUUUUAACUUGGUAUAAAGCUAAAUGGGAGUGGGGGGCUGUUUGUGUGGUCGACAGUGAGGUUAGUGAACAGAGCGACAACUUUUGUGCUCCUUUCUUAGUUGAUAGCAUCUAUUCUGGUAGUUGUUCAAGUAAUGGUGUCAGCACUUAUUUUCAUGCAUAGAGUAGAACACAAUGUUCAAUGGACUGGACUUAGAAAAGACAUCAUUAUAAUUAUAUAUAGUUGUUAUUCUAUAGCACAUUUUCUGAGAUGAGUGACACUGGCUGGACAAUUUCAAGGAAGUUUGUAUGUCUCAGUUGUGUUUCACUUUACUUAGUAUUCUCAGCCUCAGACAGCACGCCCACACAACACCCAUAGUACAGUCAAAUGCCUGGCUACGCGAGACUAUACUGGACCAACAUCAUCAUUUCUGUUUAUUGCAAUGGCUUUUGGUUGUUUACUCAUGAUUAUCAGUGGAGUUCUGAUCUCCAACACAGCCUUGGUAUGCAAAGCUGAAAACACUUUUUUUGUGAAGACAGGAGAGUCUGUUCAACUGGACAUACAGACUGAUAAAACAGAGUUUAAUUCAUUGGUCUGGGUGAAUGGUAAAUCAGAAAAUGUUGUGAGGUUUACAAGUAAAACUGGUGAGACAAGGAUUCAUUCUUCUUAUACGGACAGGGUGGUUUUCAAUCAUUCAAGCUUCUCUCUAACACUGGAGAACAUGCAGAAGACAGACAGUGGAGUCUACAGAGUGCAAAUAUUUGGAAGCAUUAACAAAGAUUUUGCUGAAUACAGAGUAUUAGUAAUAGAUGCAGUGGAUGCUCCUGUUCUGACUGUUGUCUCUAACUGGUCCAGCAGUGACUCCUGUACGGUACACUUCAAAUGUACUGGUCAUGAUGACAUACUCUCCUCCACUUAUAAUAAUGGUAGCUGCUCUCAAGAGAAAGGGUCUCUCUUCAAAAUCAACAUUUUGGACCUGCGCUGUACUAACGACUCCAUCAUCUGUAACUACAGCAACCCAGUCAGCUGGAAGAAUGACACGAUAGAGAUUAAACAACUUUGUACAGAUCAUGAAAAAGGGAAUUCAAGAGAAGAAAACAGUUAUUUUCCUCUCCACUGGCUCAUAGUCAUUGCUGUUACUGUUACAGUGUUUCCUUUAGUGGCAGCUGUUGCACUAUACUGCUCUUACAAGAAGCAUAAAAAAGGUGACCAACAGGAUGAUAAUACAGUCUAUGCAGAAGUUGAUCCACAGAAUGAAGUUGAAAGACCCCAUAGAUCAGAGAAUCCUUGCACUAUAUAUGAUAUUUCGGGACAGAACAAACAACCUCGCCGUGCAAUUAAAACCAAUCAAACAAUCACCAGUCCUGAAUCAAUCAAUGUGCAGAUACAGGAACGGACACAAAGAGAAAAUAUUCUUCCCAGCACCACCUACUGCACCAUAGGACAAAACCAGAAACCAUCGGUUCCCACUGAAAGAGACCAAACAGUUUAUUCAGUGGUGAAUAAUUACCCACAUAAGAGACCACCUGUGGAUAAUUAGCUGAGAUUAAUUAUUAUUAUUAUUAUUGUUUUAAACGUGGCUGUUAAAGAUGCGGUUUGCCUACCAAAGAAUGUUUAGUUUUUUACAAUAGAUUUUUCACAUACCAUGUACAAGCAUACAAAUGAGUAAUAAUUCUGUGAAGAUUGCUAUUUGUCACUAUGGGUUGGUUGAAUUGGUUAUGCUGGACAUGUAAAAAUUGUGGACAAUUUGGACCUCUAGAUGGCGCCAUUGUUGAGUUUCUCUCUCUUUCUUUCUCCUUUUUUUUUUUUUUUUUUUUUUUUUUUUUUUUUUUUUGAGUCCUUUGAGUAAUACUGUACUGUAUUCCUCUUUUAUUUACUUGGUUGUCGUUUGUUUUCCUGUGUAGAUACAAUUCCACUGUUUUGUUCUCCCUUUGUACAGGCUUGAAGUUACCUUAUUCCUGUGAACUUUUGGAGUGUUUUGUGAUGGUUCAGAGUAUAAUUAACGAUUUUUUCUUUUGUUUAAACACUGUGAUCCGAUCUUGCAGUUUAGUCCAAUUCCUACAGUACCAACUCCUUGACCACUCAGAGGGCAGAGACUGGUAACGGGGCAUACAUUUAUAGAUUUUAGAGUUCAAGCCUCAUAAUGAUAGUGAGUUUUCCAUGCACCUCUUAUAAAAUGUUACUGCGCGUCGCGUCGACACAGACAACAACAGCUGUGAUUGGUGCACUUUGUUACCAGAGAUCGCCCCCAGCAUGACAAGAAAGGUCCUGUGAGAUGGUAGUGCCCAGGAACCUGAAUGACUCCACUGCUGCCACAGUGCUGUUUAGAAUGACUCAUCAUCAUCUCGGAUGAGGCCGAUGACAGCGUUGUCGACUGCAAACUUCAAGAGCUUGACAGAGGGAUCCUUGGCAAUGCAGUCGUUGGUGUAGAGGGAGAAGAGUAGUGGGGAGAGCACACAUCCCUGGGGGGCACCAGUGCUGAUUGUACAGGUGCUGGAAGUGAGUUUCCCCUGUCUCAGAAGCUGCUGCCUGUCCGUCAGAAAGCUGGUAAUCCACUGACAGAUAGACAUGGGAACAGAGAGUUGGUGUAAUUUAUUCUGGAGUAUAGCUGGGAUGAUGGUGUUGAAAGCCGAACUGAAGUCCACAAAAAGGAUCCUUGCUUAUGUCCCUGGUCUGUCCAGAUGUUGCAGGAUAUGAUGCAACCCCAUGUUGACUGCAUCAUCUUUGAUUGAUUGCUUUAUUAAUAAAAUAUUGUAUAAGGAUAGAUCAUACAACAUUUCAAAACUGUUGAGGAGAGUAUACACAAAAAAGCCAAAGGCUUAUUUCCAUUGUGGUCCUCUAUGUUUCCAAAAUGGAAGAACAGAUCAUUUAUGGAGAGAAAUCACCAUCAAGUUCAGCAUCUCAUACUACAUCACCUUUAAAUUAAUGAUAAAAAAGCCAUUUUUUAACUUCCUUUCUAAAGACACUUUCAACUUUUAUCUGCUUUAUACAACAAGGUAAAACAUUCCAGGCUAUAGAACUAGUAUAUAAAAAAGAAUUCUUCCCCAUUAAACUCUUAAAUCUACAAGGAUAAAUAUCAGUCCUUCUCCCCCUUGUAGAAUGAUUAUGCACAUCUCUCACAAGUACAUAAUACUCUGUCAAGUACCUUGGAACACUUUUCUUUAUUAUUUUAAACGCCAACACCAGUUUAUGAAAAGUUACCCUUUUUUCAACUUUUAAAAAACCAAGUUCCCUAAAAUGUUCAUCUUUCAGAUGCAACUGUGGAUGUACUUUCAAUAUAACCCUGCAUAACUUAUUUUGAGCAGUCUGCAAUUUAUUUUUGGUUCGUUUCGUACUACCACUAAACCAAAAUGUUGCAGCAUAAUCAUAGUGUGACUGCACUAAUGUUCCAGCCAACAGUUUAAAUGUUUGAGUAUCUGAAAAAGCUGCCUGUCUUGCAAUUUUUUUUAUCCUAUUACAUAUUUUUGAAUUAACUAAAACAGCCAUAUUUUCUCCUGUCAAUUUAUUAUCUAAUACACAUCCCAGGUACUUAACUUCUUGUUUAGGUGUAAUAAUCAUAUCUCCAACCUCUACCUCUAAUCUGGAGCUUUUUUCCAUUUUGUUUUCUCCAUUUUUCCCUAAACCGAACCAAAUAAUACAGCUUCAGUUUUCCCCAAGUGUAAAGAAAGCUUAUUAUGAAUUAACCAUUUGGAGACCCUUUCAAUCUCUCUACUUAACUCUGUUUCAACAUUUUCUUCCAUCUCAUGAGAAACAAUUAUUGCUGCAUCAUCUGCAUAUAAAAAAAGUUAAUUAGAACGACCAUUUUCAAAUCAUUAAUAUACAAAAAAAAAAAAAUAACGGACCUAAAACACUCCCCUGCAGAACUCCACAUUAAAUGGGCAAACAAUCAGAAAACAUCCCAUUUAAAUCCACUAUUUUACACCUAUUUACAAGGUAAGACUUGAUCCAUUCACAGGCCUUAACACUAAACCCUAUUGCUUUUACUUUUUGAAGCAGAAUACUGUGAUCAAUUGUAACAAAUGCCUUUUGCAAAUCCAGCAUCACCAUCCUGCUUAAUUUGCCUUUAUCCAUUUCUUUUCUUAUAUGAUAUGUUAAAAAACAAUAUUGUUGUCUCUGUAGAGUGCAUCCUCCUAAAACUGGACUGGAACUCAUACAAUAUAUUAAAAUUAGAGAUAUAGUCUUCAACCUGAUCAUAUAUAAUAUUUUCCAUCACUUUUGAUAAAGCACUCAGGAUUGAAACCGGCCUAUAAUUAUUACACUAUAACCUACUACCUUUCUUAAAAAUGGGAAUAACUCUUGCUUGUUUAAACUCCCCCCUUACCUUGUGUAAUUGAAAAAUGUAUAAUAUGAGUAACCAUAGGGAUAAUAACUUUAGUUGAAUUCUUAAUAAACUUAUAUAUUAUCAAACCCUAUCGCUUUACUACUUUUGAGUUCUCUUAACUUCUUAAAAACAUUACUUUCGUUUACUUUAGUAAACGAAAAACCACCCGGAAUAACACCACAUUUUGCAUAAUACUCCUUGACUAAUUCCUCAUUAAACAUCCCAGUUCGUGCUGGAAGCUCGUUAACCAGUUUUUCAGCAACAGCAGUAAAAAACUAUUAAAAUAAUCUGCUACCUUCUUCUGAUCAAACAUCAAUCUUCCAUCUACAUUGAGACUUAUUCUAGAACCUUUAACCUUGAUCUUUUUCCUAUAACCUAAAUCACUCAAAACUCUCCAUAGUUUUUGAGUAUCCUGCUUCAUUUCACUAAUCUUGUCCUUAAAAAAAAAUUAUUUAGCCUCUUUUAUCUUAUCUCUUAACUCAUUUCUUUUAGAUUUAAAUAGCUCAAAAUUAUAAUCAUUUCUUUCCCUUUUAAAUACCGUAAAACUAUCAUUACGUUCCCUAAUUAGUUUUAAAAUACUAUCUGUCAUCCAAGGUUCAGUCCUUUGCUUGAUUCUUAUCUCUUUAUAGGGUGCCACUUUAUUCAAAACUUAAAAUAUUUCUCUUAUACCUAUCCCAGGCCAUCUCCACAUCUACACACUGCAUCGCCUAAGUCCAGUUGACAUUACUGAGUUCUUCUAUAAAAACUUCUGGACUGUAUUUCUUAAGAGAUCUCAUUUUUGCUGUAUUAUGAUGCCUUAUAGACUCUCUCCUUAAUUUUCUAAUUAAAUAAACUAUACAGUGAUCACUAAUACCAGCAUCCAAGACACCACUUCUACAUAUCUUAGAAUUAUCCGAUACCAAUAUAACAUCAAUGAUAGUUUUGGAUUUAAGAGUGAUCCUAGUUGGAUCCAAAAUGAUCUGAUUCAGUGCAUAUGUUUUACAAAAAGAACUAAAAUGUUUAAAAAUUGGAGUUAUUUUUUUUUUUGCAUAUCAGUAUUUAGAUCCCCAAGAAUUAUUGUCUCUUGACCUAUAUUAUAAUUUGAACCAUUUAAAGUCUCUUCCAGUCUCUCAUAAAAAUCAUACUGAUCAGGAGGAUGAUAACAAACACCCACUAAAAUCAGUUUACUCUAGGUAGAAAAAUAUCCAAUCAAACCGCUUCUACAGCAGCAUUGUCCAAGUCUUUUAUCUCCUUAAACAUCAGAUCUGUUCUAAUGUAUACACAUACUCCUCCUCCUUUAUGAUUCUGGUCCAAAAUUGAGUCAUCCAGCCAUGUUUCACUACAGCUAAACAGAGUCACAUUCAAUUCUUGACAUAAAUGCUGUAUUUCACUUAUCUUUAGAAGCAGAAUCCUAAAGUUGAGGUGGACCAUGUACAGCCCCUUCAAAGCACCGAUGGAUCUCAUUCCGUUAACUUCCGAACCCAUUUGAUCGCGUAGUAACUGAGGGUCUUCCUCAACAGCCCCAGCUCCUGUACUCUUCUGUGUCCUCGAUGUCCCGCCAGCUUUCACAGAUGUAGAAAAAAUGUCCUCCAUCCCAUUUUCCAAGUCUCUUGACUUGUAACAAGGAAGUAUCCACUGGUCCGGUAUAGAACUCCAUUCCACCGCAAUUUCCGAACGCUGACAUUGCUCCAUAGUUGACGCACGGAUUUUCAUGACAGAAUCACCCGUACUAAUGCCCUCAAAUUCACUCGAAACAGGCCCGGGACAUUGAUGUAUGUCUCCUGACACAAGGAGACAUAUCAUUAUAAUUAACAAGUCACUUGACUAUCUUCUCAUUCUCGUGCCCUUCUUUCCUUGAACAGGUGAUCCAUGGGUGAUAAAUCAGCAUAUAAAUAACGCUCUUUCCGAAACCAAAAUGCUUGCAUCCAUAACGUGUUUGAUUGAAAUCCCUACCACUGAUUAAAAAAAUCGUCCACUUCAUUCAAACGAUUAAAAAGAGUAUACAAAAGUGAGAAACUGAACAGCGAGAUUACCACUCCACACCUGCCUGCC